GUGGGGAAUAUUCCGCAAUGGACGAAAGUCUGACGGAGCAACGCCGCGUGAGUGAUGAAGGUUUUCGGACUGUAAAGCUCUGUUGUUUAGGACGAAAGUGGCUGUUGCAAACAGUUACAGGUAUUGACGGUACUAAACGAGGAAGCCACGGCUAACUACGUGCCAGCAGCCGCGGUAAUACGUAGGUGGCAAGCGUUGUCCGGAAUUAUUGGGCGUAAAGAGCAUGUAGGCGGGAAUCUAAGUCGGUUGUGAAAAUGCGGGGCUCAACCCCGUAUUGCGAUGGAAACUGGGUUUCUUGAGUGCAGGAGAGGAAAGGGGAAUUCCCAGUGUAGCGGUGAAAUGCGUAGAUAUUGGGAGGAACACCAGUGGCGAAGGCGGCUUCCUGGCACAAUACUGACGCUCAUGUGCGAAAGCUAGGGCAGCGAACGGGAUUAGAAACCCGAGUAGUCC
rnacentral:rRNA from 1 species